rnacentral:rRNA from 1 species
AUGCUACAUUUUUGGAAAAUGACUCUGGAGCGGCUGCUACUGUCCUUGGGAAUAGUUGUGGUUAGGCUCUUGCAAGAGCAUCUUGGUUUUAAACAAUCUUUUGGACGCAACAACAACGGAGGCCACAACGAUUCAGAAAGGUUUAGAUCUUGUGGAAAGCCUUGGGUCCUCAACGAUUAUUAUUGGAUCUGGUUCUUUAGAAGUAAUUCAAGCUUGCAAUGGAGUGAUCGAGACCUGGAGCCCAUACACUGCAAUCUUAGCAGAUUGUUCCCAGAUGGCCUCCAGGAUUGGUGUGAUCACCUUCGUUCACUGUCCAAGGGAAGUACCAUCUUUUCCUUGCGCCGCCGUUUAUCGUGCCAUUUACAUCCCUACUCAACUUGUACUGGACAUGAACUGAACCAAACCAUGGUACCAGCCUGGACUCUUCGAAAGGAAGCGAGCUCAUGGCUCAACCUUGGGCAAGCCUUAGCAGUUAGCACGCAAAUCUGUCGAUCUCCAGCCAGGUAG